rfam:Otolemur garnettii contig175465, whole genome shotgun sequence.
CCAACGGCUCUUUUCAGAGCCACCUACUACCUAGGAAGAGCUGG